ACGGGUUGGGGUGGCCGCGGCGGUUUCCUGUCUGAACAGGGAGAAAAAGUGCUGUCGGUUGUAAUUAAAAAAAAACAGGCCAACGCUGAAAGUCAGCCGAGACGCAGUGAAAUUAUUUUCAUUUGUUUUUCGCAUAUUAGGGCGUUGGUUUAUAAAAAUAGCGUCCAGCCCUUGUGGGAAAUGUAUUUUUGUCAGGCACUGUACUAGAGACCUACAGGGAAAAGGAGGGAGGAAGAGACGAGGUUAGUCGUUACGCCUCUCCCCCCGUUCCUUCCUAUUGGUCAGACGAAGAAAGGCGGGGAGGUAUUUCCUCCUCUGAUUGGCUGGCGUGGCUGCCGGUCUUUUUUUCCUGGGCUACACGAGAGACAUAUAAAGCUCGAGGAGACGCCAAAACGCAGCGCGAGAUCCAGCAGCUCGAGCUAGUCUCGCUGAUUAGAGCCGCGAGAGGGGGGUCCAGCGAGAGAGAGCUCACUGACACUCACACACACACUGACUGCGAGUUCAAACAAAAAAAUUGUUUUUUUGUUUUUUAAAUAAUUCAGUUCAGACGAAAACUGAUUUCUUGGAGGGGGGACGGGCUGCUUGGCUGCCUGGUUUCUGUGAAACACGUCUUUGUCGGGGAAAGUGUGCUGGUGCUCUCAAGGCCAGAGGAGGCUGGGGGGGGAGUUGUUGUAGAGGUGAGAGGGGCUAGAGCGAUCGUCGGGCGGCCGAUGAGGUCCAUGCGCAGUGCCGCCGGCGUCGCCCCGGGGCCCAGCAGGAGAUGAUCGAGAUGUCGGUGGACAAGGAGCCGGCCGGGCCGGGCGCCAGAGGGCCCCAGGACCAGCCCC